GUUGCCACGGUGAUUAUUCUAAACACAGCAGGUGAUGUAAUUCCCCUUGGGAGUGUGGCAUCAAGCAGAUGAAUUGGGCGCAUUGCAUCUGAUUCAGCCUCUUGAGGAGAAAGACUUCAUACUGAUCCAAAUAGACUCCCGAGAGGCAGAAAGAGGAAAAUGAUAAAUAAAUGCCAGCCAAGCUCUAAAAUGGAACACUCUAGCUGUGUGGCCACUGAAGCGUGAGUGGCUGAAACGAAGAGAAUGGACAUGGAGCCCACCCGGAAGAGCACCCUUAACAUCAUCAUAUCCCUGAAGCACGAGUCGGGGUGGUGGGACUGCCCUGGAAACCCUGCACACAGCUGGCUUGAGCAGUGGGUAUUUUCAUAAGGCAUAUAUGGGCAUCACAGAACACUUGGAGCUUUAAUGAAGACAGCUGCCAUUCUGUGAGCUGUUCUAUGAAGGAGCCCACUUGGCAAGGAACUGGGGGAGGUCUCAGAUUAACAGCCAGCAAGAAACUGAAUCCUGCUAACAACCACCUGAAUGAACAUGAAAGCAGACCCUUCCCCAAUUGAGUCUUCAGAUGAGACCCAGUGCUCACCUGCACCUAGGUUGGAGCCCUAAGAGAAACCUUGAAGCAGAGGAACCAGCUUAACCUGAUCCAUGGAAACUAUAAAAUAAAAUGUGUGUUGUUUAAACUGCUAAAUUUCUGGAAACUUAUUACCCAGCAGUACAUAUCUAGUGUAUAAGGAUUUACCAGAAGAAAAUAAUCAUGGAUGUGUGCAAAGAUCUAAACACAAUGACGUUCACUGCAAA
rnacentral:lncRNA from 1 species